rnacentral:rRNA from 1 species
AACGAACGCUGGCGGCAGGCUUAGCACAUGCAAGUCGAACGCCCCGCAAGGGGAGUGGUAGACGGGUGAGUAACGCGUGGGAAUCUACCUAGUUCUACGGAACAACACAGGGAAACGUGUGCUAAUACCGUAUACGCCCUACGGGGGAAAGAUUUAUCGGAAUUAGAUGAGCCCGCGUAAGAUUAGCUAGUUGGUGGGGUAAUGGCCUACCAAGGCGACGAUCUUUAGCUGGUCUGAGAGGAUGAUCAGCCACACUGGGACUGAGACACGGCCCAGACUCCUACGGGAGGCAGCAGUGGGGAAUAUUGGACAAUGGGCGCAAGCCUGAUCCAGCCACGCCGCGUGAGUGAUGAAGGCCUUAGGGUUGUAAAGCUCUUUCAGUGGGGAAGAUAAUGACGGUACCCACAGAAGAAGCCCCGGCUAACUUCGUGCCAGCAGCCGCAGUAA